UACGAAGGGUGCUAGCGUUGUUCGGAAUCACUGGGCGUAAAGCGCGCGUAGGCGGCUUAUCAAGUCAGGGGUGAAAUCCUGGGGCUCAACCCCAGAAUGGCCUUUGAAACUAGUAAGCUAGAGUGUCGGAGGGGAUAGCGGAAUUCCUAAUGUAGAGGCGAAAUUCGUAGAUAUUAGGAGGAACACCGGUGGCGAAGGCGGCUAUCUGGACGACAACUGACGCUGAGGCGCGAAAGCGUGGGGAUCAAACAGG
rnacentral:rRNA from 1 species